rnacentral:lncRNA from 1 species
UUUCCCCUAUAAUUGCACUGAAUUCAAAACAUUACCGCUCUAACCAAGCUUCCACCUUUCUCUGGUACUACAAAACUUCAACAGGAACCAUCCAAAAAGAUAUUAUUGAUAUCGGUUCUGCUUUAGACAUCACUCCAAAGUGAACUCCACUUCUCCAAGGCAUAAAAUCUCAUACUUGUUGCAAAACGCCAACUAAAACCCUUACACCAUAAAGACCUAUCUUCUCUUCUCCACUUAUCCUUGCUAAAAUCUUCUGACUUCUAUAACCCUUCAUCUUCUCAUUUAUAACUUGAUCCAUUCCUAAUGCUUAACCUUUGAUUCUCCUUCUCAAACACAACACAUCUCUUGAAGGCCAUAACCACCCGAAAUAAUUUGAAAACAAAUAAACCUCUCUUGUAAUCACACCUCAGACUUAGGAAAGAUGACAUCAUAUCUUCUUCAUUUAAGUUUAUCAAACACCACUUUUCUUCUUCCAAUCUCGUACAUCCUUGAUAUACCGAACCAUAUUGCCAACCGUAUCCAAAGAUACUCCAUGGCUCAUCAACAUUUUCCUUUCUUCUGGCCUUCCACACUAAUGACACCUUGAACCAAGCUGAUUUCUCAAACCUGUUACCCAAUACUUACCCAAAGUUUCUCUUAUUCUAGCCUCUUGAACUCCACUCUUCUUGUGGAACAUACAAUAUCUGAGCUCCUGACUUUGCCCUUGAAAACUUCUUCACCCAAACAUUUCUUCUAAACUCCAAUAUGUCUUCACCCAUCCUUUGAAACGUAAAUUCUGGUCUUCUAACUCUUUGUCUUCGAGGCAAGAAUUUGUCUCAAAGGCUUAAACCAAUUACUAAAGAAGGUAUACAGGUCAAGUUGUUAUUGAAUUUGUAUUCCCUUACCACUAUAGAGCACAGUACAUUACCACAGAGGCAAGAACAAGACAGAAAAUACUAUUGAUAGUAACACUGGAAU